rnacentral:rRNA from 1 species
GUCUGAUCAUGGCUCAGAUUGAACGCUGGCGGCAGGCCUAACACAUGCAAGUCGAGCGGAUGAAGGGAGCUUGCUCCUGGAUUCAGCGGCGGACGGGUGAGUAAUGCCUAGGAAUCUGCCUGGUAGUGGGGGAUAACGUCCGGAAACGGGCGCUAAUACCGCAUACGUCCUGAGGGAGAAAGUGGGGGAUCUUCGGACCUCACGCUAUCAGAUGAGCCUAGGUCGGAUUAGCUAGUUGGUGGGGUAAAGGCCUACCAAGGCGACGAUCCGUAACUGGUCUGAGAGGAUGAUCAGUCACACUGGAACUGAGACACGGUCCAGACUCCUACGGGAGGCAGCAGUGGGGAAUAUUGGACAAUGGGCGAAAGCCUGAUCCAGCCAUGCCGCGUGUGUGAAGAAGGUCUUCGGAUUGUAAAGCACUUUAAGUUGGGAGGAAGGGCAGUAAGUUAUACCUUGCUGUUUUGACGUUACCAACAGAAUAAGCACCGGCUAACUUCGUGCCAGCAGCCGCGGUAAUACGAAGGGUGCAAGCGUUAAUCGGAAUUACUGGGCGUAAAGCGCGCGUAGGUGGUUCAGCAAGUUGGAUGUGAAAUCCCCGGGCUCAACCUGGGAACUGCAUCCAAAACUACUGAGCUAGAGUACGGUAGAGGGUGGUGGAAUUUCCUGUGUAGCGGUGAAAUGCGUAGAUAUAGGAAGGAACACCAGUGGCGAAGGCGACCACCUGGACUGAUACUGACACUGAGGUGCGAAAGCGUGGGGAGCAAACAGGAUUAGAUACCCUGGUAGUCCACGCCGUAAACGAUGUCGACUAGCCGUUGGGAUCCUUGAGAUCUUAGUGGCGCAGCUAACGCGAUAAGUCGACCGCCUGGGGAGUACGGCCGCAAGGUUAAAACUCAAAUGAAUUGACGGGGGCCCGCACAAGCGGUGGGGCAUGUGGUUUAAUUCGAAGCAACGCGAAGAACCUUACCUGGCCUUGACAUGCUGAGAACUUUCCAGAGAUGGAUUGGUGCCUUCGGGAACUCAGACACAGGUGCUGCACGGCUGUCGUCAGCUCGUGUCGUGAGAUGUUGGGUUAAGUCCCGUAACGAGCGCAACCCUUGUCCUUAGUUACCAGCACCUCGGGUGGGCACUCUAAGGAGACUGCCGGUGACAAACCGGAGGAAGGUGGGGAUGACGUCAAGUCAUCAUGGCCCUUACGGCCAGGGCUACACACGUGCUACAAUGGUCGGUACAAAGGGUUGCCAAGCCGCGAGGUGGAGCUAAUCCCAUAAAACCGAUCGUAGUCCGGAUCGCAGUCUGCAACUCGACUGCGUGAAGUCGGAAUCGCUAGUAAUCGUGAAUCAGAAUGUCACGGUGAAUACGUUCCCGGGCCUUGUACACACCGCCCGUCACACCAUGGGAGUGGGUUGCUCCAGAAGUAGCUAGUCUAACCGCAAGGGGGACGGUUACCACGGAGUGAUUCAUGACUGGGGUGAAGUCGUAACAAGGUA